AUGGCAGCAAGGGCAAAAUUGAAAAUGGCUUCCCCAGAACCUAAGAGCCUGGUCCCUUUCACCAGAGAGUCUCUUGAAGUUAUGGAACAGCAUAGUGCUAAAAAGCCCAGUGAGGAAGACAAAGAAGAUUUAAAGCCAAACUGUGACUUGGAAGUUGGAAAAGAGCUUCCAUUUGUUUAUGGAAAUCUUCCUCAAGCAAUGGUGUCAGAGCCAUUGGAAGAUGUGGACCCAUACUACACUAAUAAAAGGACUUUCAUAGUAUUAAAUAAAAAGAGAACAAUAUUCAGAUUCAGUGCUACCUGGUGUACAUUGUCUCCUUUCAAUUCAAUUAGAAGAGCAACCAUUAAGAUUUUGGUACAUCCUUUUUUCCGACUAUUCAUUUUGGUUAGCGUCCUGACUGACUGCAUAUUUAUGUCUAUGACUGAUUGUCCAAAAUGGGGGCCAGCAUUUCAGAAUACUUUGCUUGGAAUUUAUACAUUUGAAAUACUUGUAAAACUCAUUGCAAGAGGCAUCUGGGCAGGACCUUUUUAUUUCUUUGGUGAUUCAUGGAACUGGCUUGAUUUCAGUGUAACUUUAUUUGAGCAUAUUUCAAGAUAUUCACCUCUAAAUUUCAUUUCCGUAUUUAGAAUUGUGAGAAAUUUGAGAAUUUUGAAAAUUAUUCCUUUAAACCAAGGAAUGAAGUCUUUUGUAGCGAUACUCAUCCAUUGUUUGAAGAAACUCACUGUGGUCACUAUCCUAACUGUCUUUUUUCUGAGUGUAUUUUCUCUAAUUGGGAUGGGGCUCUUCAUGGGCAAUCUGAAGCAUAAAUGUUUGCGAUGGCCCCAAGAAAAUGAAACUGACAUGCUGAAUAAUAGAACUGGAAACCCAUAUUAUAUUCGAGAAACAGAAAACUUUUAUUAUUUGGAAGGAGAAAGAUAUGCUCUUCUUUGUGGCAACAGAUCAGAUGCUAGUCAGUGUCCUGAAGGAUAUGUGUGUGUAAAAGCUGGUGUAAAUCCUGAUGAUGGCUACACAAAUUUUGACAGCUUUGGCUGGGCCUUAUUAGCUCUAUUUCGGUUAAUGACUCAGGAUUACCCUGAAGCACUUUAUCAUCAGAUCCUUUAUGCUUCUGGGAAGGUCUACAUGAUAUUUUUUGUGGUGAUAAGUUUUUGGUUUGCCUUUUAUAUGGCAAGUUUGUUCUUAGGCUUACUUGCUAUAUCCUAUGAAGAAGAAAAGCAGACAGCUGCUGAAAAAGCUACGGUUGAUCAGGAAUUUCAGAAGUCUUUACCAGAACUUCAAGAAGAAAAAAUAACAGCAGAGACCAAGACCAUACAAUUAGAAAUGAAGAAAAGAUCAUCACCUUCUAUGAUUACUUCUUUGGAUGCGCUGGAUGAUGCUACUGUCAGCCAUAAAGAAGAGCUUAAAAAAUCCAGGCAGAGAUGCCCAUUUUGUUGGUAUAGAUUUGCUAAAACUUUCUUGAUCUGGGAUUGUUCUCCCUGUUGGUUAAAAUUGAAAGAGUUUGUUUACAGGAUUAUAACGGACCCAUUUACCGAUCUUUUCCUUACCAUAUGCAUAAUCCUAAACAUAAAUUUUUUGGCCUUGGAACACUAUCCAAUGAGUCUGGAAACCAGCAAUAUUCUCAGCAUUGGAAACAUGGUGUUUAUAGGAAUUUUCACAACAGAAAUGAUUUUUAAAAUAAUUGCCAUGCAUCCAUAUGGAUAUUUCCAAGUAGGCUGGAACAUUUAUGAUAGCCUAAUUGUGUUCCAUGGUUUAGCAGAACUUUAUCUAACAAAUUUUCAUGGACUGGCUAUUUUACGAUCAUUCAGGGUGUUACGAAUUUUUAGAUUGGGAAGAUACUGGCCAACAUUUAAGAUUCUGAUGCUGACUCUGUGUAACUCAGUUGUGGCCCUGAAAGACUUGGUCCUGCUGUUGUUCACGUUUAUGUUCUUUUCUGCUGUGGUUGGCCUCAACCUGUAUGGUUCAAAUUACAAACAGUAUGUCUGCAACAUAAAUGAAGACUGUCAGCUUCCUCACUGGCACAUGUGUGAUUUCUUCCAUUCCUUCCUGAAUGUCUUCCGGAUUCUCUGUGGAGAGUGGAUAGAGACUUUAUGGGAUUGCUUUAAGGUAGCAGGCCAAUUCAGUUGUAUUCCUUUUUACAUGAUGGUGAUUUUAAUUGGAAAAUUAUUGAUACUUUACCUGUUUCUGGCGUUGAUCAUCUCAUUUAGUUCAUACAAGCCUGCAACAACUGAUGAAGAAAAUGAUGAAGCAAAAAAUCUCCAGCGUGCAAUGGCAAGAAUUAAAAAAGGAAUAAAUUAUGUGCUUUCUAAAAUAUUAUGCAAAAAACAAAAUGUUCUAAAGGAAACAAUGGACAAUAUAAGUGAUGUCUAUGUUAAAGAGAAUAUUUCUGGCCAUACUCUUUCUGAAUUGAGCAACACCCAAGAUUUCCUCAAGGAUAAGGAAAAAAGCAGCGGCACAGAGAAAAACACAAUGACGGAAAAUGAGAGUCGGUCACUAAUCCCCAGUCCCAGUGUCUCAGAAACUGUACCGAUUGCUUCAGAAGAAUCUGAUAUAGAAAAUCCGGACAAUAAGGAGAUUCAGAGCAAGUCAGGUGAUGGAAGCAGCAAAGAGAAAGUAAAGCAGUCGAGCUCAUCUGAAUGUAGUACAGUUGAUAUUGUUCUUUCUGAAGAAGAAAUGGUCUAUGAACGUGAAAAGCCAAAGCAUCUUAGAAAUGUUUAUGAACGAAGAUCUUCAUCUGCUCAAAUCGGUAGAGGCCCCAAGAAAGGAAAAAUCUGGCAGAACAUACGGAAAACUUGCUGCAAAAUAGUAGAAAACAGUUGCUUUAAGUGUUUUAUUGGCCUUGUCACUCUGCUUAGCACAGGUGCUCUGGCUUUUGAAGAUAUAUAUAUUGAUCAGAGAAAGACUAUUAAAAUCUUAUUAGAAUAUGCUGAUAUGAUCUUCACUUACAUCUUUAUUCUGGAAAUGCUUCUAAAGUGGAUGGCAUACGGUUUUAAAGCCUAUUUCACUAAUGACUGGUACAAACUAGACUUCAUGGUUGUUAUCGUGUUCUGUCUUAGUUUAAUAGGCAAAUCUCGGGAAGAACUAAAACCACUUGUUUCCAUUAAAUUCCUUCGGGCACUCAGAGUUCUAUCUCAAUUUGAAAAAAUGAAGGUGGUAGUGAGCGCUUUGAUUAAAACAACUUUACCCACAUUGAGUGUGUUUCUGGUCUGCCUUAUGAUCUGGCUGGCUUUUGGCAUCAUAGGAGUUCACUUAUUUGCUGGUAAAUUCUAUGAGUGCAUUGACCCAACGAGUGGAGAAAGGUUUCCUCUAUCUGAAGUCAUGAACAGAAGUCAAUGUGAAACCCUUGUAUUUAAUGAAUCCAUGCCAUGGGAGAAUGCAAAACUAAAUUUUGAUAAUGUUGGAAUCAGUUUUCUUUCACUGCUUCAAGUAGCAACAUUUAAUGGAUGGAUCACUAUUAUGAAUUCAGCAGUUGAUUCUACUGAUGUAGAUAUGCAACCUCAUUUUGAAAACAACAUCUAUAUGUAUUGUUACUUUAUUGACUUUAUUAUCAUUGGAUUAUUGCUUCCUCUGAGUAUGUUGAUUGGUGCUAUUGUUGCCAAUUUCCACAAGCAUAAAAUAAAGCAGGGAGGCUCAAAUAUCUUUAUAACAGUCAAACAGAAGAAACAGUACCGUGCACUGAAGAAGCUGAUGUAUGAAGACUCUCAAAAACCAGUACCUCUCCCAGAAAACAAGUUCCAACGAUUCAUCUUUGACUUGGUAACAAGUCGAGUUUUUAAUAUCAUCAUUAUGACUCUUAUAUGUUUCCAAGCAAUAACCAUUAUGACACAAAGUGAUGAACAGAGCCCCAAAAUCGACACUGCUCUGUUUUGGAUUAACUCAGUUUAUGUUGGGCUAUAUAUUGGAGAAUGUGUACUAAAGCUCAUCGUUUUCCAUUGUAACUAUUUCACCAGUGGAUGGAACAUUUUUGACUUCAUGGUUGUUGUUUUCUCUAUUACAGGAUUAUUUCUGCCUCUGAUGGUAGGAUAUUACCUUGUAUCUCCUUCUCUUGUGCAACUGAUACUUCUCUCACGGAUCAUCCACAUUCUGCAUCCUGAGAAAGGACUAAAGCUGUUCCAUAAUCUGCUGCUUCCUUUGAUGCUGUCCCUCCCCGCCUUGUUGAACAUCAGUCUUCUCAUCUUCCUGAUCAUGUUUAUCUACGCCAUCUUUGGAAUGUACAAUUUUGCCUAUGUUAAAAAGGAAGCUGGAAUUGAUGAUAUGUCCAACUUUGAAACCUUUGGCAGCAGUAUGCUCUGUCUUUUCCGAGUUACAAUAUUUGCUGGUUGGGAUGGUAUGCUCAAUGCAAUUUUCAAUAGUAAAUGGUCUGACUGUGAUCCUGAUAAAAUUAACCCUGGGACUCAGGUUAGAGGAGACUGUGGCAAUCCCUUUCUUGGCAUUAUUUAUUUUGUCAGUUACAUCCUCUUAACUAGGCUGAUCAUUGUAAACAUGUACAUUGUUGUUGUCAUGGAGUUUUUAAAUAUUGCUUCUAAAAAAAAAGCCAAGACAUUGAGUGAGGAAGAUUUCAGGAAAUUCUUUCAGGUAUGGAAGAGGUUCGAUCCUGAUAGAACCCAGUAUAUAGACUCUAGCAAGCUUUCAGACUUUGCAGCUGCUCUUGAUCCUCCUCUUUUCAUGGCAAAACCAAACAAGGGCCAGCUUGUUUCCAUGGAUCUUCCCAUGGCUGUUGGAGACAGAAUUCAUUGCCUUGACGUCUUACUUGCUUUAACAAAGAGAGUUUUGGGUAAAGAUCUGAGCAUGGAGAAAGUUCUUUCAGAGAUGGAAUCAGGAUUUACAUUAGCUAACACUUUUAAGAUCACAUAUGAGCCAAUUACAACUACUCUGAAACGAAAACAAGAGGUGGUCUCAGCAACCAUCAUUCAGCGUGCUUAUAAAAGUUACCGUUUGAGGCAAAAUGACAAAAAUACUUCAGAUACUCAUAUGAUAGAUGGUGACAGGGAAGUUCAAGCUAUCAAAGAAGAUUCCUAUAUUGAUAAAGCUGAGGGAGUGUCAAUAAUUCAAAGCCCGAUAUAA
rnacentral:lncRNA from 1 species